AUCUAUGGGCUAUAUCACCCUUAACACACCCAAUUUAACCUAAACCUAAGCUGGGCAGGCUCUGGUUAGUACCUGAAGGAGAGACUUCUUGGGAAUACUAGGUGUUGUAGGUU
rnacentral:rRNA from 1 species